CACAAGCGGUGGAGCAUGUGGUUAAUUCGAAGCAACGCGAAGAACCUUACCAGGUCUUGACAUCCCGAUGCUAUUCUAGAGAUAGAAAGUUACUUCGGUACAUCGGUGACAGGUGGUGCAUGGUUGUCGUCAGCUCGUGUCGUGAGAUGUUGGGUUAAGUCCCGCAACGAGCGCAACCCCUAUUGUUAGUUGCCAUCAUUCAGUUGGGCACUCUAGCGAGACUGCCGGUAAUAAACCGGAGGAAGGUGGGGAUGACGUCAAAUCAUCAUGCCCCUUAUGACCUGGGCUACACACGUGCUACAAUGGUUGGUACAACGAGUUGCGAGUCGGUGACGGCGAGCUAAUCUCUUAAAGCCAAUCUCAGUUCGGAUUGUAGGCUGCAACUCGCCUACAUGAAGUCGGAAUCGCUAGUAAUCGCGGAUCAGCACGCCGCGGUGAAUACGUUCCCGGGCCUU
rnacentral:rRNA from 1 species